GGAUCCAGACUUGAUUUUGGCUCAGAACGAACGCUGGCGCAGGCCUUACACAUGCAAAUCGAGCGCGCCCUUCGGGGUGAGCGGCGGACGGGUUAGUAACGCGUGGGAACGUGCCCUUUGGUACGGAAUAGCCUCUGGAAACGGAGAGUAAUACCGUAUGAGCCCUUCGGGGGAAAGAUUUAUCGCCAAAGGAUCGGCCCGCGUUAGAUUAGGUAGUUGGUGGGGUAAUGGCCUACCAAGCCUACGAUCUAUAGCUGGUUUUAGAGGAUGAUCAGCAACACUGGGACUGAGACACGGCCCAGACUCCUACGGGAGGCAGCAGUGGGGGAUCUUGGACAAUGGGGGCAACCCUGAUCCAGCCAUGCCGCGUGAGUGAUGAAGGCCUUAGGGUCGUAAAGCUCUUUCGCCUGUGAAGAUAAUGACGGUAGCAGGUAAAGAAACCCCGGCUAACUCCGUGCCAGCAGCCGCGGUAAU
rnacentral:rRNA from 1 species